AAGUACACCAAAGGAAUAAGAAAGGAAUUAAGGUAUCUUUGAACCUUAUACUGUACAUUGAUGAUUACGAUGCUUGUGGUAGGCUCCUGCUGACUGGCAUAUGUAGUAUAUAGAAAUUAGAUAGAAAUACAAGGUCGGAUAAUUGAAUUGUUUUGGAGAGACUCCAUUUGCCUUUAUCUCCCUCUGUGGAUUUGUGUGAAUUUUGCUGAAAUUCACUUUAUUUUGUUUAAUACCAUGUUCUGUGCUACACAGCAAGACAGCAGUAAGUUAUCAGACAUAGGGACUGAAGGGGAAGAUGAAGAUAGCCUUCUUGUUCCAUAAGAAGUGGGAAGUGAAGCAGCAAAGACAGGAAGACUGAUUCAGGAAGAUAACAUGGCAGCUUACAACAUGGAGGACAAGAGAGAUCCUUAAAGGUCUGGACCUUUUUGAGAAAAACGCUGUAAAAUACAACAGGUGGCUGGAUGUAAUCUAGACUUGGCCCUAUAUUCUGGGAAUCCAAAUUAUUGUGUUUGCCUUUCCCUGGAAGCUAUGAUAGAACUCCUUUUGACCCAUGAACUGCCUCAUAUGCACCAGAUUAAAAGCAUGAAACAGCACGGAGAAACACAGGAAAGCUUGUCUCUGCAGUCAGGCAAAGAUGAGGACAUGAAGAUGUAUAACUGUCCCAGGUGUGAGAAUAGUACAAUUUACACCCUCAGGAUUUGUGACAGGUUUGCCUGA
rnacentral:lncRNA from 1 species